UACGUAGGGUGCAAGCGUUGUCCGGAAUUAUUGGGCGUAAAGGGCUCGUAGGCGGUCUGUCACGUCGGGAGUGAAAACUCAGGGCUUAACCCUGAGCCUGCUUCCGAUACGGGCAGACUAGAGGUAUGCAGGGGAGAACGGAAUUCCUGGCGUAGCGGUGAAAUGCGCAGAUAUCAGGAGGAACACCGGUGGCGAAGGCGGUUCUCUGGGCAUUACCUGACGCUGAGGAGCGAAAGUGUGGGGAGCGAACAGG
rnacentral:rRNA from 1 species